CUCAACUCAUGGCUGAUGGAGGCAGUGACAGACAUCCAAUGCAGGGAACCGAAUGGAACUCCUGGAACCCAGUUGCAUGAUGGCGAAACUGAGAAAUGCAGAACUCUCAACUCAUGGCUGAUGGAGGCAGUGACAGACAUCCAAUGCAGGGAACCGAAUGGAACUCCUGGAACCCAGUUGCAUGAUGGCGAAACUGAGAAAUGCAGGCUCGACCAUCACCCUCUGCCCAACUUGUGAUCCAGGUGGCUGUAUUAAGAAAGAUUCAACUGAAAUCAUUGGCUUGGAUUCCCCAUCCUCUCCGAUCCUCAAGUACCCUUACGUACCAGAUUUCAGUUGGCUUAAGAAUUUCAAGCCACAAAAGGGAUUACAGUUUUUUCCUCCUGAAUUUGUAGGUUACAUGCCCAAAUUAAAGAACACAAUUGCUUUGGUAUUCCAGUUGCGUAAUUGCCCAUUAAAUAAAGCA